rnacentral:rRNA from 1 species
GACGAACCGUGCGAACGUUGUUCGGAUUCACUGGGCUUAAAGGGCGCGUAGGCGGGCGGUCAGGUCGGGGGUGAAAUCUUUCAGCUUAACUGGAAAAGUGCCUCCGAUACUGAUCGCCUCGAGGGAGGUAGGGGCAUGUGGAACUUCCGGUGGAGCGGUGAAAUGCGUAGAUAUCGGAAGGAACGCCGGUGGCGAAAGCGGCGCGCUGGACCUCUUCUGACGCUGAGGCGCGAAAGCUAGGGGAGCAAACGGG